rnacentral:rRNA from 1 species
GAUGAACGCUGGCGGCGUGCCUAAUACAUGCAAGUCGAGCGAACAGAUGAGGAGCUUGCUCCUCUGACGUUAGCGGCGGACGGGGGAGUAACACGUGGAUAACCUACCUAUAAGACUGGGAUAACUUCGGGAAACCGGAGCUAAUACCGGAUAAUAUAUUGAACCGCAUGGUUCAAUAGUGAAAGACGGUUUUGCGGUCACUUAUAGAUGGAUCCGCGCCGCAUUAGCUAGUUGGUAAGGUAACGGCUUACCAAGGCAACGAUGCGUAGCCGACCUGAGAGGGUGAUCGGCCACACUGGAACUGAGACACGGUCCAGACUCCUACGGGAGGCAGCAGUGGGGAAUCUUGCACAAUGGGCGAAAGCCUGAUGCAGCAAUCCCGCGUGGGUGAUGAAGGUCUUCGGAUUGUAAACCUCUUUUAUUAGGAAAGAAAAAAUGUGGAUGAAUACCCCGCCGUUCUGACGGUACCUAAAGAAAAAGCACCGGCUAACUACGUG